AGCGAACGCUGGCGGCAUACUUAACACAUGCAAGUCGCACGGGCAGGUUUCGGCCUGUCAGUGGCGGACGGGUGAGUAACGCGUAGGGAUCUAUCUCUGGGUGGGGGACAACCGUGGGAAACUACGGCUAAUACCGCAUGACACCUGAGGGUCAAAGGCGCCGGGGCAACCUGGGGUCGCCGGGAGCGGAGCCUGCGUACGAUUAGCUGGUUGGUGGGGUAACGGCCUACCAAGGCGACGACGUUAGCUGGUCUGAGAGGAUGAUCAGCCACAUUGGGACUGAGACACGGCCCAGACUCCUACGGGAGGCAGCAGUGGGGAAUAUUGGACAAUGGGCGCAAGCCUGAUCCAGCCAUGCCGCGUGAGUGAUGAAGGCCCGUAGGGUUGUAAAGCUCUUUCGCACGCGACGAUAAUGACGUAGCGUGAGAA
rnacentral:rRNA from 1 species